rnacentral:tRNA from 1 species
GGAGGCGUCGCAUAGUUGGCCCAUUGCGGUCGUUUCGAAAACGACUUCGGGGAAACCCGAUCAGAGGUUCGAAUCCUCUCGCCUCCG